GGCCUCGUAGCUCAGUUGGUAGAGCAUGCGCGUACAAAGCGUAGGCGGUGUUCAUGCGUGGGUUCGAAUCCCACCGAGGCUA
rnacentral:tRNA from 1 species